rnacentral:rRNA from 1 species
GGUUAAGUGACUAAGCGUACAUGGUGGAUGCCUUGGCAGUCAGAGGCGAUGAAGGACGUACUAACCUGCGAUAAGCCGUGAGCAGUCGGUAAGAGACAUUACGACUCACGGAUUUCCGAAUGGGGAAACCCACUUAGCAUAAGCUAGGUAUCGCUACGUGAAUACAUAGCGUAGCGAGGCGAACCGGGAGAACUGAAACAUCUAAGUACCCCGAGGAAAAGAAAUCAACCGAGAUUCCCUCAGUAGCGGCGAGCGAACGGGGAUUAGCCCUUAAGCAUCUUGGAAGUUAGUGGAACGGUCCUGGAAAGGCCGGCGAUACAGGGUGAUAGCCCCGUACACGAAAACAACCUUGAUGUGAAAUCGAGUAGGGCGGGACACGUGACAUCCUGUCUGAAUAUGGGGGGACCAUCCUCCAAGGCUAAAUACUCCUGACUGACCGAUAGUGAACCAGUACCGUGAGGGAAAGGCGAAAAGAACCCCUGUGAGGGGAGUGAAAUAGAACCUGAAACCGUGUACGUACAAGCAGUGGGAGCCCUUCGGGGUGACUGCGUACCUUUUGUAUAAUGGGUCAGCGACUUACAUUUUGUAGCGAGGUUAACCGUAUAGGGGAGCCGUAGGGAAACCGAGUCUUAACUGGGCGUCUAGUUGCAAGGUGUAGACCCGAAACCGGGUGAUCUAGCCAUGGGCAGGUUGAAGGUUGAGUAACAUCAACUGGAGGACCGAACCCACUAACGUUGCAAAGUUAGGGGAUGACCUGUGGCUGGGGGUGAAAGGCCAAUCAAACUCGGAGAUAGCUGGUUCUCCCCGAAAGCUAUUUAGGUAGCGCCUCGGACGAAUACUAUUGGGGGUAGAGCACUGUUUGGGCUAGGGGGUCAUCCCGACUUACCAACCCCAUGCAAACUCCGAAUACCAGUAAGUAAUAUCCGGGAGACACACGGCGGGUGCUAACGUCCGUCGUGAAGAGGGAAACAACCCAGACCGCCGGCUAAGGUCCCAAAGUUCUGGUUAAGUGGGAAACGAUGUGGGAAGGCUCAGACAGCUAGGAUGUUGGCUUAGAAGCAGCCAUCAUUUAAAGAAAGCGUAAUAGCUCACUAGUCGAGUCGGCCUGCGCGGAAGAUGUAACGGGGCUCAAACCAGGCACCGAAGCCGCGGAUUCACACUAAGUGUGAGUGGUAGGGGAGCGUUCUGUAAGUCUGCGAAGGUGUGUCGAGAGGCAUGCUGGAGAUAUCAGAAGUGCGAAUGCUGACGUAAGUAACGAUAAAGGGGGUGAAAAGCCUCCUCGCCGGAAGACCAAGGGUUCCUGUCCAACGUUAAUCGGGGCAGGGUGAGUCGACCCCUAAGGCGAGGCCGAAAGGCGUAGUCGAUGGGAAGCAGGUUAAUAUUCCUGCACGACUUGUAAUUGCGAUGGGGGGACGGAGAAGGCUAGGUGGGCCAGGCGACGGUUGUCCUGGUGAAAGUGCGUAGGUGGUGUUUCUAGGCAAAUCCGGAGACACAACACUGAGACACGAGACGAACACACUACGGUGUGGAAGCCAUUGAUGCCCUGCUUCCAGGAAAAGCCUCUAAGCUUCAGAUUACAAGUCAUCGUACCCCAAACCGACACAGGUGGUCGGGUAGAGAAUACCAAGGCGCUUGAGAGAACUCGGGUGAAGGAACUAGGCAAAAUAGAACCGUAACUUCGGGAGAAGGUUCGCUCUUGACAGUGAAGUCCCUUGCGGAUGGAGCAGUUGGGAGUCGCAGUGACCAGAUGGCUGGGACUGUUUAUCAAAAACACAGCACUCUGCAAACACGAAAGUGGACGUAUAGGGUGUGACACCUGCCCGGUGCCGGAAGGUUAAUUGAUGGGGUUAGCGCAAGCGAAGCUCUUGAUCGAAGCCCCGGUAAACGGCGGCCGUAACUAUAACGGUCCUAAGGUAGCGAAAUUCCUUGUCGGGUAAGUUCCGACCUGCACGAAUGGUGUAACCAUGGCCAUGCUGUCUCCACCCGAGACUCAGUGAAAUCGAAUUCGCCGUGAAGAUGCGGUGUACCCGCGGCUAGACGGAAAGACCCCGUGAACCUUUACUACAGCUUGGCACUGAACAUUGAACCUACAUGUGUAGGAUAGGUGGGAGGCUUUGAAGGCGUGACGCCAGUUGCGCUGGAGCCGUCCUUGAAAUACCACCCUUGUAUGUUUGAUGUUCUAACGCAGGCCCGUGAAUCCGGGUCGCGGACAGUGCCUGGUGGGUAGUUUGACUGGGGCGGUCUCCUCCCAAAGAGUAACGGAGGAGCACGAAGGUUGGCUAAUCCUGGUCGGACAUCAGGAGGUUAGUGCAAUGGCAUAAGCCAGCUUAACUGCGAGACGGACAGGUCGAGCAGGUACGAAAGUAGGUCAUAGUGAUCCGGUGGUUCUGAAUGGAAGGGCCAUCGCUCAACGGAUAAAAGGUACUCCGGGGAUAACAGGCUGAUACCGCCCAAGAGUUCAUAUCGACGGCGGUGUUUGGCACCUCGAUGUCGGCUCAUCACAUCCUGGGGCUGAAGUCGGUCCCAAGGGUAUGGCUGUUCGCCAUUUAAAGUGGUACGCGAGCUGGGUUCAGAACGUCGUGAGACAGUUCGGUCCCUAUCUGCCGUGGGCGUUGGAUGAUUGAAGGGAGUUGCUCCUAGUACGAGAGGACCGGAGUGAACGAACCUCUGGUGUUCGGGUUGUCACGCCAGUGGCACUGCCCGGUAGCUAAGUUCGGAAUCGAUAACCGCUGAAAGCAUCUAAGCGGGAAGCGAGCCCUGAGAUGAGUCAUCCCUGACCCCUUGAGGGUCCUAAAGGGCCGUUGGAGACCACAACGUUGAUAGGUGGGGUGUGUAAGCGCGGCGACGUGUUGAGCUAACCCAUACUAAUUACCCGUGAGGCUUAACCAU